rnacentral:lncRNA from 1 species
UUGGAUUGACAUCUCUCAUUCUCCCCCUCAAGCUAAGGACCACACACCUUGUGCCCCUUUUCCUCUAGCGAAUCAUCUCGGUGCCUUGUCGCAUCUUCGACAUUCGACACCCUUAAUCGCAAGGUUAUUUUGAGUUGCUUUGAGGAUGCUCUUUCCACAAUUCCAGGAUCUUCUGACUAAUCUCUGCCGAACCUCCUUUACCACCUUGAAGGGUCCCGUUCCUAUUCGAAGGGUAUUUUGGUUUUCUUGCAGAUUUCUUGUCAACCGCUCUGAUACCAAUUCAGAUCUCUUAGAAACACAAAGAGUUAUAAGAACAACUUUUCUUAUUAGCC